UGGGGAAUAUUGCACAAUGGGCGAAAGCCUGAUGCAGCGACGCCGCGUGAGGGAUGACGGCCUUCGGGUUGUAAACCUCUUUCAGCAGGGAAGAAGCGAAAGUACGGUACCUGCAGAAGAAGCGCCGGCUAACUACGUGCCAGCAGCCGCGGUAAUACGUAGGGCGCAAGCGUUGUCCGGAAUUAUUGGGCGUAAGAGCUCGUAGGCGGUUAGUCGCGUCUGCUGUGAAAACUCGAGGCUCAACCUCGGGCUUGCAGUGGGUACGGGCUGACUAGAGUGCGGUAGGGGGUGACUGGAAUUCCUGGUGUAGCGGUGGAAUGCGCAGAUAUCAGGAGGAACACCGAU
rnacentral:rRNA from 1 species